rnacentral:rRNA from 1 species
UGAUCCUGGCUCAGAUUGAACGCUGGCGGCAGGCCUAACACAUGCAAGUCGAACGGUAACAGAAAGUGCUUGCACUUUGCUGACGAGUGGCGGACGGGUGAGUAAUGCUUAGGAACUUGCCUUUUGGUGGGGGAUAACAGUUGGAAACGACUGCUAAUACCGCAUAAUGUCUUUGGACCAAAGGAGGCUUCGGCUCUCACCAAGAGAGAGGCCUAAGUGAGAUUAGUUAGUUGGUGGGGUAAAGGCUUACCAAGACGACGAUCUCUAGCUGUUCUGAGAGGAAGAUCAGCCACACUGGGACUGAGACACGGCCCAGACUCCUACGGGAGGCAGCAGUGGGGAAUAUUGCACAAUGGGGGGAACCCUGAUGCAGCCAUGCCGCGUGUGUGAAGAAGGCCUUCGGGUUGUAAAGCACUUUCAGUUGUGAGGAAAGGUUGGUAGUUAAUACCUGCCAGCUGUGACGUUAACAACAGAAGAAGCACCGGCUAACUCCGUGCCAGCAGCCGCGGUAAUACGGAGGGUGCGAGCGUUAAUCGGAAUUACUGGGCGUAAAGCGCACGCAGGCGGUUUGUUAAGCGAGAUGUGAAAGCCCCGGGCUCAACCUGGGAGGGUCAUUUCGAACUGGCAGACUAGAGUUUUGGAGAGGGGAGUGGAAUUCCAGGUGUAGCGGUGAAAUGCGUAGAUAUCUGGAGGAACAUCAGUGGCGAAGGCGACUCCCUGGUCAAAGACUGACGCUCAUGUGCGAAAGUGUGGGUAGCGAACAGGAUUAGAUACCCUGGUAGU